AACACAUGCAAGUCGAACGGGCGUAGCAAUACGUCAGUGGCAGACGGGUGAGUAACACGUGGGAACGUACCUCUUGGUUCGGAACAACACAGGGAAACUUGUGCUAAUACCGGAUAAGCCCUUACGGGGAAAGAUUUAUCGCCGAAAGAUCGGCCCGCGUCUGAUUAGCUAGUUGGUGGGGUAAUGGCCCACCAAGGCGACGAUCUUUAGCUGGUCUGAGAGGAUGAUCAGCCACACUGGGNCUGAGACACGGCCCAGACUCCUACGGGAGGCAGCAGUGGGGAAUACUGGACAAUGGGCGAAAGCCUGAUCCAGCAAUGCUGCGUGAGUGAUGAAGGCCUUAGGGUUGUAAAGCUCUUUUACCCGGGAUGAUAAUGACAGUACCGGGAGAACAAGCUCCGGCUAACUCCGUGCCAGCAGCCGCGGUAAUUC
rnacentral:rRNA from 1 species